UAGUAGUACGGAAUAAUUGUUGGAAACGGCAACUAAUACCGUAUGUGCCCUACGGGGGAAAAAUUUAUUGCUAUUAGAUGAGCCUAUAUUAGAUUAGCUAGUUGGUGGAGUAAUAGCCUACCAAGGCAAUGAUCUAUAGCUGAUCUGAGAGGAUGAUCAGCCACACUGGAACUGAGAUACGGUCCAGACUCCUACGGGAGGCAGCAGUGGGGAAUAUUGGACAAUGGGCGAAAGCCUGAUCCAGCCAUGCCGCAUGAGUGAAGAAGGCCUUUGGGUUGUAAAGCUCUUUUAGUGAGGAAGAUAAUGACGGUACUCACAGAAGAAGUCCUGGCUAACUCCGUGCCAGCAGCCGCGGUAAUACGGAGAGGGCUAGCGUUAUUCGGAAUUAUUGGGCGUAAAGGGCGCGUAGGCUGGUUAAUAAGUUAAAAGUGAAAUCCCGAGGCUUAACCUUGGAAUUGCUUUUAAAACUAUUAAUCUAGAGAUUGAAAGAGGAUAGAGGAAUUCCUGAUGUAGAGGUGAAAUUCGUAAAUAUUAGGAGGAACACCAGUGGCGAAGGCGUCUAUCUGGUUCAAAUCUGACGCUGAAGCGCGAAAGCGUGGGGAGCAAACAGGAUUAGAUACCCUGGUAGUCCACGCUGUAAAC
rnacentral:rRNA from 1 species